GCCUGUUACUGUUGUUAGAGCAGCUGACUCUUAAUCAGCGGGCCCAGGGUUCGAGUCCCUGAAAGUGCACCA
rnacentral:tRNA from 2 species